rnacentral:lncRNA from 1 species
AUGGUCUCAGGUAAAGUUUUAACCCUGAAAGAGUUCUGGAAGGAAGAUUACUACAUACUUUCCUGUAUGACAUUAAUUGAGAAAUCCUGGGCCAAUGUCUGUCUGAGGAAACGUAGAUCUGCCUGUUCACAGGAUAGAGACUUUGAAGACUGUGUAGAGGAGCUUUCAAUUGACCAACUUGAGUUACAACCAGCCCUUGGAAAUCAAUUGACAGUCUAGCAGCUUUGAAUGAUUGAGGGCAUUUACCAAUCAGACAGUCAUGGAGUUCAUCAUGACAAGGUACCAGCCAGUAUGACAAAAGGAAGAGGUCCCCACUUGCCAUGGGCCUCAUCAGAUCCAGGUCUAGCCCCAAUCUUCACCCCUGGUCAGCAUGAAGCAGCUCCAGAAGAAGAGACCUUUGCCCAACUGUCAUAAAACAAAAGCCUGGAAUGAUAGGUCUCCCACUACCUCAGCAGCUAUUAUGUAUAGUAGCUGCCCUCUUCCUAUGGUGCCUUGCCCUCCCCUGUGUGACAUCAUGCCAAGAUGGCUGCUCCCACCAAAGAAUAAACCCUUCUUCCCAGCAUGCCCGUUCCCACCUAGAAAGUAACCUAAUACUCGCUCACCUCCUACCACCUAGUGACAUCAUGGGCUCCUCCAUUCCCUAGUCACUACCUCACUCAACCCCACCUCAGC